ACCCACUGGAUAAAACUGGUAAAAGUUUGAUGGAAGAUGAGUUAGAUGAAUCUGUGAAGUUACCUAAAAAGUAGGAGUCUCCUUUGCAAACAGCUUCUCUGGAUGUGGAUUAUGAAUCUGAUGUCUCAGAACAUGAUGUUAAGGUAUGCGAUAUUUGUGGGGAUGCAAGACGAGAAGAUUUGCUUGCUAUAUGUAGCAAGUGCACCGAUGGUGCAGAACACACUUACUGUAUGCGAGAAAUACUUCGGAAAGUUCCUAAAGGUGAUUGACUCUGUGAAUAAUGCAAGCUGGCUGAGGAAACUGAAAGCCAAA